AUGGAGAUCAUGCUGGGCCAAAGGCACCUCAGGGAGAGCAACAGCCUGUGGCCCGGCUCUCCAGAGUCCCUUUAUAGGGGGCCCUGGUGGCUCCUGGAGGUUCCUCUGAAAAGGCGAAGGGGGCCUGGGGAGGCUGCAACAGCCUCAAGCUACAGCCCUGCUCAAAGACUUCAGAGCUUUCCCCAGAGCCCCUGCCUAGAAUGGGGGCUGCCUGUCCUUCCCUCUCCAGAGCUAGCUGAGCAGCGGGCCUCCAGCUUUGGCUCUGAGCUCUGUGGCAAAGGCCCCGGGGCGCCUCCUGAGACAGGCCCAAACUUUCGGGUGGCCCCCCCACACCCCCUUUGUGGCCAGGGGCUGGAGAGGGCCUUCCUCCGGGGUGCUGCCCCCUUCUUCCUUGUCCUGCCUUGCAUGGGACCCGGGGAAUGCUGCCAGCUGGCCCCCCCUGACCCUCCUGACCCAUGCAUGAGGUCACAACGGGGGCCUCCUGGCUGUGUUACGCCUGGGAGGCUGCCCCUUCUUAGCUCAGCUGUCCCAGAGAGCCAUAGCCAGUCUGCCCUCCCCACAGAGAGUAUCCUGGCCCUCCUCCAGCAGCCCCCUCCACCCCCACCCCAGAGCCCUGAUCUUCAGGCGCACCGACACUCCCUGAGCCCAAUGAAACCCCGGAAACCCUCACCAGGUGGGGCCCCAGCCUGGGGGGCUGCAGGGCUGCAGGGGAGCCCCCGGGGGCCGGCCAGCCCCCAGCUCCGGCCUGCUUCCUCCCUGCUCGCAGUUGUCCAGCCCGGAGAGCUCCACCUGCCGGAAGAGGAAGUGGAAGCGGAACUGUCGUUCCCGCUGUGCUUCCCCAAGCCUGGCCCUCUACAGAGAGCCAUGGCGGAGGGCAACUACCCGCCCCUACCCGCCCCUCGGGCCCCUCACGGCCAUGUUCGAGAGCGACUUUGUGCAGGACGAGAGCGCCCCGAUGUCCGCAGCGGAGGCCCCCCCCAAACGGAAGGAGGUGGCCUUCCCUCCCCAGUACCCAUCCCAAGGACCAAGGGGAGCCCGGCCUGGACCGGGGACAAAGCACUGCACUACCCGGGGCCGCUCUCCCAAGUGAUUGACCAGCAGAGCGCCCCGGCCCUCCCGGAAGUGAAGUCGGAAGUGAUGUCGAGAGCGGAAGCCGCCCACAUGCCCUUUGGUCCCAGCAGAAGCUCCCAGUCAGGAGAGAAGAGGAGCGGAAAUCAGAGCCCAGACUUUUCGGGAGGAGCACCCCGGGGAGCCUAGUGGAAGUGGAAGUAAAGGGACGCCCCCUCCCCCUGCUCCCCUGCUCUCUGGCUUGGGGCUCUUCCUGAGGCCUAACCCG
rnacentral:lncRNA from 1 species